rnacentral:rRNA from 1 species
GACGAACGCUGGCGGCGUGCCUAAUACAUGCAAGUUGAGCGCUGAAGGUUGGUACUUGUACCCACUGGAUGAGCAGCUAACGGGUGAGUAACGCGUGGGGAAUCUGCCUUUGAGCGGGGGACAACAUUUUGAAACGAAUUCUAAUACCGCAUAAAAACUUUAAACACAAGAUUUAAGUUUGAAAGAUGCCAUUGCCUCACUCAAGGAUGAUCCCGCGGUUUAUUAGCUAGUUGGUGAGGUAAAGGCCCACCAAGGCGAUGAUACCUAGCCGGCCUGGGAGGGUGAUCGGCCACAUUGGGACUGGGACAAGGCCCAAACUCCUACGGGAAGCAGCAGUAGGGGAACUUCGGCAAUGGGCGGAAGUCUGAACGAGCAACGCCGGGGGAGUGAAGGAGGGUUUCGGAUCGUAAAACUCUGUUGGUAGAGAAGAAAGUUGGUGAGGGUAGAAAGCUCAUCAAGUGACGGUAACUACACAGAAAGCAACGGCUAACUACGUG